rnacentral:rRNA from 1 species
AGUCGACGAUGAUCCCAGCUUGCUGGGGGAUUAGUGGCGAACGGGUGAGUAACACGCGAUUAACCUGCCCUUGACUCUGGGAUAAGCCUGGGAAACUGGGUCUAAUACCGGAUACGACCAUCUGGCGCAUGUCAUGGUGGUGGAAAGCUUUUGUGGUUUUGGAUGGACUCGCGGCCUAUCAGCUUGUUGGUGGGGUAAUGGCCUACCAAGGCGACGACGGGUAGCCGGCCUGAGAGGGUGACCGGCCACACUGGGACUGAGACACGGCCCAGACUCCUACGGGAGGCAGCAGUGGGGAAUAUUGCACAAUGGGCGCAAGCCUGAUGCAGCGACGCCGCGUGAGGGAUGACGGCCUUCGGGUUGUAAACCUCUUUCAGUAGGGAAGAAGCGAAAGUGACGGUACCUGCAGAAGAAGCGCCGGCUAACUACGUGCCAGCAGCCGCGGUAAUACGUAGGGCGCAAGCGUUAUCCGGAAUUAUUGGGCGUAAAGAGCUCGUAGG